rnacentral:tRNA from 1 species
GCGGCUGUAGUCUAGCGGUAGGAUGUGGGCCUUCCAAGCCCGAGACCCGGGUUCAAAUCCCGGCGGCCGCA